rnacentral:lncRNA from 1 species
GUUGUUGCUGUGAAGAUGGCGGUUGAUUGUAAUAAUCAUAUCCACCUCCUGAAGUAGCCUGCUGGGAUGAUGACUGAUCCCAGUUGGGAGGGUAACCACCAGAUGCCUGUGGAGGAUAACCUGCAUAAGGUGGUUGAGAAUACUGAGGUGAGGGACCAGGAUAUCCUCCAGGCUGCAUGUAGCCAUAACCAGGUUGUUGCAUUUGAGGAGCUCCAGAUGGAGCCCAGCUUGCUGGUGGUCGUGCUUGAUAACCUUGCUGAGGGUAUCCUCCAGCCAUCCCUGGAUUUCUAAGGCGAUGCUGCACAAGAUUGUAUUUUAAAUAAAUAUGGUGAGCUUUCAGAAAAGGUGAAGCAUUACAGACAUAAAGCAAAACAUAAAUAUAGAUCGUACAGACAUAAAACCUACACAGCACAUCUAAAAACCAGCAAAACAGAUUUCAAAUAGUGAUACGUCCACACAGGACUAAGAGAGUUCAAAGAGUUCAUAUUGUACUCUGAAGGGGAAUGAACGCCUACAUACCGUACUGUUUGAUGAAAUAAUUGAGUUUCUCCUGCAGAAGCCCAUCCCUCUCCCUAUUCGAAGUGAAUGGGUGCAAAAAGAACCACAAAAUGCCAUACAUUUCAUAUAAAAGCAACAAAUAUUUGCAAAUCAAAUUGCCAUAAACAGGCAAAAAGUUCACAGCAGUUUCUACACCAUUUAACGUAACUUUUAAGCUUCAUAUCAAUCAUAUAUCAACUCAAGCAUCAGAUCAAAACAGCAACCUAGAAGAUCACUACAUCUAUCAGUACAUUUAAGGAAGUUAAUAAUUUCUCAGAUAAAAAGCACAAUUUAAAGAAGUCAGAUCUCUCAAAAAAAUUAAGUUUGGAUAACAGAAAAUAAAUUUAUAUUCACAGAGCAAAAAUAUGUUUGAAAAUGUUCAUAUGCUUAGGUAAGAAGUUUAAAUGCAUCAAUUUCCAUGGACCCUCUCGAUAUUGGAUGUGAAUAUCUGAGUAUUCAUAUCAGUUGUUAUUUUAACACAAUCAUUAGAUUAAAGCAGCAUCCUAGAAGAUAACUAUACCUACCAGUAGAUAUAAACAAGCAUAUUUUUUUAUGUAAGAUAUAAGGAAGUUAAUUAUUUCUGAUUUAACUGAAUAAAAUUUAAAAAGGAAAGUCAAAUCUACCAAAAAAAACCAUUUAGAUUUGGAUAACAGAAAAUAAAUUUAUAACUUCAUAAAGCAAUAGCAUAGGUGAAGAUUUUGAUAUUCUCAGGUUAGAAGUUUAAAUGCAUCAAUUUCCACCAGUCCUCUCAACAUUGGAUGUGAAUCUCAGUAGCUUUGAAGCUUGCUGUUAACCUAAGCUGCAUUUCCAUAGACUGAAAACACCAUCUUCUUAUGACCCAACCUUCAAGAACAAAUAUUUUUUGUUGAAAAUGGAAACUGACCCAAUCAAGGAACCACCUAUAUACAUUCUUGAAAAAACAGAAUGUAGACAGCAUUUUUUUUUGGAGGUAUGUUUACUAGGCCAGUAAGUUCAGCACUGAAGAUCAAGAAAAUCACUUUGAUAGGAAGCAGUGUAAAGGAAAAUGCAAUUAGUACUUCCUUCAGAUUCCAAUACUGGUACUGCCAAGAUAUUACAAGAACAGGGCACAUUAUAGAUGAGACAAUAUAGUUUGGCAACUUUAUUCUGCCAUCAAAAGUGAACUUGAAGCUCCUUUCAGAAAACAUCAUUGCUAAAUAUCAGAAAUUGAAGCUCCUUUCAAAAAACAGGCCAUAUUAUAGACAAGACAAUAUAGUCUGGCAACUUUCUUCUGCCAUCAAAAGCGAAAUUGAAGCUCCUUUCAAAAAACGUCAUUGCUAUGUAUGAUUUAGUAGGCCAGUAAGUUCAGCACUGACGAUCAAAAAAAUACUUUGAUGGGAAGCAGUGUAAGGAAAAUGUAAUUAGUACUUCCUUCAGAUUCCAAUACUGGUACCACCAAGAUAUUAAAAAAACAGGCCGCAUUAUAGACAAGACAAUAUAGUUUGGCAAACUUUAUUCUGCCAUCAAAAGUGAAUUUGAAGCUCCUUUCAAAAAACAUCAUUGCUAAGUAUCAGAAAAUGGGAUUCAGAACCAUACCAGGGCAAGCUGAGGAAACACCAACACAAAAGGAAUCCAUGUUGGUGUCACCAAAGGUCCACUAUAAACUAACCCUACAAUAGUUCUCAAAAACAAUAUCAGUUAUACGAUAAAAUUCAUAAGCACAUUCUGGUAGAAUAUGUCAUUAUCCGAUAAACCAUUCAGUUGGCAUAUAGCUUCAAAUGACUUGACGAUGGACACGAGAUAUACAUGAUAAGAUAUUUGCUAUAACCAUAACAACCUAGAGAUUAAUUAUAAAGAGUUUCCCCAAACUAAUUAUUCAACAAAGUAUUAAAGCACUAUGAGGACAGAAAGCACUCUGACAAUUUUGGCAAAUGAAGCUACUGAACGCCACCCAGGAGAGUUCUGCCUACUGAUAAAUCCAAAAUAACCCCAAAGGAACCAGCUGCAGAUAGAUAAGACUAGACAUUCAAACUCAAGAAGUUUAGUCACAGUUUCAUCCGUAAGAUAUCCACAGUGUAUACCAUGCUUACCAGCCCCAAUACUAAUAUAAAACCAAAAAAAAUAUUUAAUAUGAGCAAGGAAACUCUCACGAAGUGGUAAAUUUUGCAGAGGCUCAGCUUUCUUCCAAGGGUCAUUUUGACACACAGGAUUAUAUUCUCAACCAGCUGUAAAAGCCAACUGGAGCAGCAACAAAGGAUAUCUGCACUUCUCUGGAUUUUACAAGUCCAACAAAUGGAAAAGAAAAUAUCCAAACUAUAUCCACAAUUUAAUGAAUGGGCACUCGAAGAAAUUAAGACCCAAUUUUUGCAAUAUGGUUAGAUUAGCACAAAAAAUCAGUAAAACCUAGGAACUUGUGACAAAAAGAAAAGAGUAAAAGAAAGUACUAAUGCACAAAAAAAAUACAAGUAUUCAGCAGGUCCUGGCAUAGCUAGACAAUAGCAAUAACUAAACAACCAAAUCAACUGAAAAAAAUUAUAUUAUAAGAGAAUCGCCAAAGAAUACAUUUUAAGUAUCAUCUUUCCAAUGCCAAGAUUUGACCAAGUUCAAGGAGACAGAGUGUUGAAUUGGCCAAAUCGACAAAACACAAACAACCAAACUUACCUCA